GUUAAAUGCUUGAGCAGUUUCCCCAACGAUGGAGAGAAGUUUCAGCGACAGUUUCCAAGGCCUCUAAGAGUUGUGCCCCCCUCUUGCUUCUUUCUUGCGUCCUCCUGUGAGCUGCGGGUUAGGCAACAGCCUGGCAGCAUGUGCUGUUAAAAAACGUAAACCCGCCUCCUAGUGGAAGUGGGCUGCCAAUCAGGGACGUUUGCACAAACAGAGGCUCGUGGGAUUCAUCUGUCUGGCAGAUCGCAAGAGCGAGUGGGUGCCUCAGCCCUCAUCAGGUUCUGGGCACGGAUGAUGCACAGGAGAGACGAGCAUGUGUCCCAGCGCUAUCAGGAGUGGAAUGACAUGAACGACAAGGGCCCCCUGUUUAAAUUUUGCAAAAGGCAGGGGGAGGUCUCAUUGAGAGUGACAACUGGGGGAUGCGACAGAAGGGCCCGGCAUUUUCCCAAGUUGUGUGCAUUCAAAAUAAAAAUUACAAAAAAAAAACCCAAUGGUUUCACCGCAGUAAGUUGCUGGUUUUAUUUUUAAAAGUUGUAGAGAGAAGAAAUUGUCAUCUGCUCUUGUGAAACUGCUCUGACUCUUCCACAAUUCCCCUCCCUACACGCAGAAAAACACACAUCACAUCCCCGACUCCUGUAGUGAAAAGAGACAGACUAUUCAUGAUUUGUGUGGGCAUGUUUCUUAAUAAAUCCAGAAGGCUUACCAACAGUAUUUCAACACAGGAUAUAUUUUCCAUAAAUAAUUUGUUCCUUAUUGAUUUCCAAUACUUUGAAAAAUAUGUAGCCGUACUUCUGGGCCUGAAUGUAUCAAGUGUUUAUUUCCCAGUGAAAGUUUUGACAGCCAGAAACCAUAUCUUCUGAUCAAAUUUGAUGCAUUUUAUUUAUCUGUGGAGAGAGGCCUACUUAUCACCAGAAGCGAUGCCAUAAUCGCUACAGUAUUGGGAUUUCCUGCUUGUCAGCCGGUGUGCUGUAUGAGGUUUGUUUUCUCUUGGUUACAGGAGCACAUUAAAGAAAGUUAACUGACUGUAGGACUACUAGCUAGCUGUGGCACAGACCGGGUCCCUCCAGCUGUGUCAAAAACAGAUUACAUGCAAAUACUACCAAGAAAAAACAAAACUGCUGACAAUCAUAAAAAGCCAUGUGAAACGAAGUUCGUAAAUAAAUAUUGGCAUUCAAAGAGAGAACUUGCUUUGUUUGUUCAUAUGAUAAUAGUUGUGCUAUAGUAACAUCGUUACCUGGAAUUUCUUGGGCUGUGUCUGUGCCUCCGUACAUAGUAAUUAUCAUUAUUUACUUAAGUAUUUUUUAUUGCUUAGAUCCUGAUGGUUUUUCCAUCUUCUUCAGUUAUGAGUAUGUCAAGGCUGUAUUAAAAUACAUGCUUUGUGUACGUUUGUGUAUUGAAAUCUUGAGAGAAGCGAAUGUGCCGAUGACUUCAACAUGGUCGGAAUAGAAUCAGAACGGUAUCCAGUUUCUGUGCCGAAUGCCUGCAACCUUCAUGGAAGCACUGAUCCAUCCACAUCACCUUUCGGAAGUAUUACUGUAAGGAAUGACCUGACACCACCAUCUCCUCUGCCUCUGGGUUGCUCAAUAAAACAAGCGUGUAGGACCAGCUUGGUGAUCAAUGGGGAUCAAAACUAAUGACCGAUGACCUCAAGGAGGAAUCUGGUGCUGUGUCUUGAGCACUUCAUCAGUGAACAUCUUAGAGGGAGAAAAAUGCAGUGCAGAGCGUGAUGAUACUGUUGUUCAAGUUCCAGGGAAAGUGGGACUUGGAAAGGAUGACUUGUUUUUAGUACAGCAAUUAUUACUGUAUUGUUUCUGUAUUGUAUUCAUGUAGAAAGUAUGGAGUGCUACCCAAUUAUUACAGUGCAAGAGAGAACAAUCAAAAUGUCUUUUGGAUGAUUGUCAAAACUGCUGAAUGAGAUUUGCUUGACAGUGAAGAAAAACCAUGCUUUUUCUCAGUGACAGGUCAUUGGUGAAAAGAGUUUCACUUUGCUGUCAGCAAAGAGCUCUUAAUUUUAGGUGAGCAGCUAGAGUUCUUAAAGAGAAUUACUUACCCUGAUACACCAUUGUUUUCAGAAUCUUUUCUGGGAUAAUUCUGAAACCACCUAUUGGUUGUGGGAAAAUGUCUGUGCUGUUAUGAACUUCAAUUGAUUGAGUUCCUAUUUAAAAUAUUUAGAUUGCACAGAGCAUAGGAUUAACUACAUCUGCAUUGUUCAAAGAAUGACAAAUAACAGCAUAUGUGGCUGUGUAACCUAUAUUCUUACUAUAGCAAUGAUGAAACACUUAGGAAAGGCAUAGAACAGAACAAUCCCUUUGACUGCAUUUGUGAAUGACUGAAAUUAAUCUUUAAACUAGAAUGAUGUCCAUAUUUCCAAAAAGGCACACACACUUAAAACACAGCGUUAUCUGUGUUGUUGUAAUUGUAUGUUUCAGAUCAUGAUUUUAUGUAUUUAUGUGUUUUUGUUGAUGUGACAGAGAAACUUUAAAACAUGACAAUAGAUAAUGCCAUUAUAAAAUAAUAAUAAUAUUCCUGGUGUUCAUAAAUCCUGAAUAUUAUAAUACCUGCUGUUGUCCUUUGGUACCAGUAAACACAUACAACCCUUAUGA